UACGGGGGGGGCAAGCGUUGUUCGGAUUUACUGGGCGUAAAGGGCGCGUAGGCGGCCACUGCAAGUCGGUUGUGAAAUCUCCGGGCUUAACCCGGAAAGGUCAAUCGAUACUGCAGGGCUAGAGUGCAGAAGGGGCAACUGGAAUUCUCGGUGUAGCGGUGAAAUGCGUAGAUAUCGAGAGGAACACCUGCGGCGAAGGCGGGUUGCUGGGCUGACACUGACGCUGAAGCGCGAAAGCUAGGGGAGCGAACGGG
rnacentral:rRNA from 1 species